rnacentral:rRNA from 1 species
GAUGAACGCUGGCGGCGUGCCUAAUACAUGCAAGUCGAGCGAACAGAUGAGGAGCUUGCUCCUCUGACGUUAGCGGCGGACGGGUGAGUAACACGUGGAUAACCUACCUAUAAGACUGGGAUAACUUCGGGAAACCGUAGCUAAUACCGGAUAAUAUAUUGAACCGCAUGGUUCAAUAGUUAAAGACGGUUUUGCUGUCACUUAUAGAUGGAUCCGCGCCGCAUUAGCUAGUUGGUAAGGUAACGGCUUACCAAGGCAACGAUGCGUAGCCGACCUGAGAGGGUGAUCGGCCACACUGGAACUGAGACGCGGUACAGACUCCUACGGGAGGCAGCAGUAGGGAAUCUUCCGCAAUGGGCGAAAGCCUGACGGAGCAACGCCGCGUGAGUGAUGAAGGUCUUCGGAUCGUAAAACUCUGUUAUUAGGGAAGAACAAAUGUGUAAGGAACUAUGCACGUCUUGACGGUACCUAAUCAGAAAGCCACGGCUAACUACGUG